CAGGACGAACGCUGGCGGCGUGCCUAACACAUGCAAGUCGAGCGAGGAGAUCCUUCGGGAUGAUCCUAGCGGCGGACGGGUGAGUAACACGUGGGCAACCUGCCUCAUAGAGAGGAAUAGCCUUCCGAAAGGGAGAUUAAUACCUCAUAACAUUGCAGUUUCGCAUGGAACAGCAAUUAAAGGAGUAAUCCGCUAUGAGAUGGGCCCGCGGCGCAUUAGCUAGUUGGUGAGGUAACGGCUCACCAAGGCGACGAUGCGUAGCCGACCUGAGAGGGUGAUCGGCCACAUUGGGACUGAGACACGGCCCAGACUCCUACGGGAGGCAGCAGUGGGGAAUAUUGCACAAUGGGGGAAACCCUGAUGCAAGCAACGCCGCGUGAGUGAUGACGGCCUUCGGGUUGUAAAGCUCUGUCUUCGGGGACGAUAAUGACGGUACCUGAGGAGGAAGCCACGGCUAACUACGUGCCAGCAGCUGC
rnacentral:rRNA from 1 species